GGAAAUGGAUUAUAAUGCGGAUGGGGCGACAGGAGCUGAAGGUCGGGAGCUGCUUUAGUACCGGUUGGUAGGUCCAACUGGAACUAAUGGUCUCUUCACCCGGUACUAAUGUGCCUGAGGACCUUUAGUACCGGGUGGAGGCUCCACCGGGUACUAAUGGGUGGGUCAAAAACCAACCGGUACUAAUGGCUAGGACCAAUGCUCAGUUUUCCGGUGGUGUCUAGAUGAUUAAAGAUUUAAAGACAGUUACAUUGUAUACAUAUGUAAAACGUCAUUUCUCUCUUUUUCUA
rnacentral:lncRNA from 1 species